rnacentral:sRNA from 1 species
UCCGUAGGUGAACCUGCGGAGGGAUCAUUACCGAGUUUACAACUCCCAAACCCCUGUGAACAUACCUAUACGUUGCCUCGGCGGAUCAGCCCGCGCCCCGUAAAACGGGACGGCCCGCCCGAGGACCCCUAAACUCUGUUUUUAGUGGAACUUCUGAGUAAAACAAACAAAUAAAUCAAAACUUUCAACAACGGAUCUCUUGGUUCUGGCAUCGAUGAAGAACGCAGCAAAAUGCGAUAAGUAAUGUGAAUUGCAGAAUUCAGUGAAUCAUCGAAUCUUUGAACGCACAUUGCGCCCGCCAGUAUUCUGGCGGGCAUGCCUGUUCGAGCGUCAUUUCAACCCUCAAGCUCAGCUUGGUGUUGGGACUCGCGGUAACCCGCGUUCCCCAAAUCGAUUGGCGGUCACGUCGAGCUUCCAUAGCGUAGUAAUCAUACACCUCGUUACUGGUAAUCGUCGCGGCCACGCCGUAAAACCCCAACUUCUGAAUGUUGACCUCGGAUCAGGUAGGAAUACCCGCUGAACUUAAGCAUAUCAAUAAGCGGAGGA